GGUCAAGCUACUAAGGGCACACGGUGGAUGCCUAGGCGCAAGGGGGCGACGAAGGGCGCGGCAAGCGGCGAAACGCCCCGGGGAGCUGCAAGCAAGCGUAGAUCCGGGGGUGCCCGAAUGGGGGAACCCACCGUGGGAGAACCUACGGUAUCCCAUGCUGAACCCAUAGGCAUGGGAGGCGAUACCGGGGGAACUGAAACAUCUUAGUACCCCGAGGAAAAGAAAGCAAGAGCGAUUCCCUGAGUAGCGGCGAGCGAAAGG
rfam:Fervidicola ferrireducens strain Y170 AN618_contig000094, whole genome shotgun sequence.